UACAGAGGUGGCAAGCGUUGUUCGGAAUUACUGGGCGUAAAGGGCGCGUAGGCGGUCUUGUAAGUCCCGUGUGAAAUCCCUCGGCUCAACUGAGGAACUGCACGGGAAACUGCUUGGCUUGAGUUCGGGAGAGGGAAGCGGAAUUCCUGGUGUAGCGGUGAAAUGCGCAGAUAUCAGGAGGAACACCGAUGGCGAAGGCAGGUCUCUGGGCCGAUACUGACGCUGAGGAGCGAAAGCGUGGGGAGCGAACAGG
rnacentral:rRNA from 1 species